CUUGUAGGUGGCUUGUCGCGUCUGCCGUGAAAUCCUCUGGCUUAACUGGGGGCGUGCGGUGGGUACGGGCAGACUGGAGUGCGGUAGGGGAGACUGGAAUUCCUGGUGUAGCGGUGGAAUGCGCAGAUAUCAGGAGGAACACCGGUGGCGAAGGCGGGUCUCUGGGCCGUUACUGACGCUGAGGAGCGAAAGCGUGGGGAGCGAACA
rnacentral:rRNA from 1 species